CCUACGGGGGGCUGCAGUGGGGAAUAUUGGACAAUGGGGGCAACCCUGAUCCAGCCAUGCCGCGUGUGUGAAGAAGGCCCUCGGGUUGUAAAGCACUUUCAGUGAGGAAGAACGCCUGGUGGUUAAUACCCAUCAGGAAAGACAUCACUCACAGAAGAAGCACCGGCUAACUCCGUGCCAGCAGCCGCGGUAAUACGGAGGGUGCGAGCGUUAAUCGGAAUUACUGGGCGUAAAGCGCGCGUAGGUGGCUUGAUAAGCCGGUUGUGAAAGCCCCGGGCUCAACCUGGGAACGGCAUCCGGAACUGUCAAGCUAGAGUGCAGGAGAGGAAGGUAGAAUUCCCGGUGUCGCGGUGAAAUGCGUAGAGAUCGGGAGGAAUACCAGUGGCGAAGGCGGCCUUCUGGACUGACACUGACACUGAGGUGCGAAAGCGUGGGUAGCAAACAGGAUUAGAUACCCCAGUAGUC
rnacentral:rRNA from 1 species